CGCUUACCACUUUGUGAUUCAUGACUGGGGUGAAGUCGUAACAAGGUAACCGUAGGGGAACCUGCGGUUGGAUCACCUCCUUA
rnacentral:rRNA from 24 species